UACAGAGGGUGCAAGCGUUAAUCGGAAUUACUGGGCGUAAAGCGUGCGUAGACGGUUAUGUAAGUCAGAUGUGAAAGCCCCGGGCUUAACCUGGGAAUGGCAUUUGAGACUGCAUAGCUAGGGUGCCGAAGAGGGAAGCGGAAUUUCCGGUGUAGCGGUGAAAUGCGUAGAUAUCGGAAGGAACACCAGUGGCGAAAGCGGCUUCCUGGUCCAGCACCGACGUUCAGGCACGAAAGCGUGGGGAGCAAACAGG
rnacentral:rRNA from 1 species